UUUAAUUGUCAUUAGGUUUUCAUUGGAGUGGUAGUGUCGACAGAAAAUUAGUUUUUAUAACUUAAACAGGACGAAUAUGUUAGUCUUACUAACAACAAUACUAUUGCUCCUUUUAACAUGGUUUGUGGUCCGUUGGCAGCGAGUACGACGUUAUUGGGCAGAUAGGGGGGUACCUUAUUUACCACCACAUCCUGUUCUGGGAAGCCUGACGUUCUUGCAGAAGCAAAAUGCUGCUCUAUGGAUGCGGGAUGUAUACUUGCGUGUUCGCACUCCCU